AUUUUGUUUUCAAUUUCAGGAGAUUGGAUUUUUCGAGUUGGUGACUUUUCUUUGAAGCCUACGAAGACCUCUGUGUUUAAGGGUAAAUAAAAUGGUACAAGAGAUCAAUCGAAGAGAACAACAGAUUCUAGGAGGAGUUUUUGUCAAAAAUUUAAGGCAACUGGUUAAGGCUCGAAUCGAUCAACAAAAUCGAGGGACAUUAGUGAGAUUUUCUGACACUGCCCCGGGACCUGGUACAAAGAAAUCAGUGAAAAUAGAAAAAACAAGGAUGGGUUUGCGUGUUUAUGGUAGGGGUGCAAACCGAAACAAAUUGGUGGUCCAUACUAUGUAUCCACCUGCAAAUCGUAGUAAUCCGCCGAAAGAAAAAGUUCCGCUGGAUAAAACACUUUCACAACGCUUUUUGGGGUUUUCCAAUGGCAUCCACAGGUUUGCUAGCUGGAAAAAGGUUGGAGUUUUGUUGCUCUUGCUUGCCUCCGCCGCAACGGCCUUUGGAGUUUUAAAUGUCUACAGAAGGGGUGGGUCUUUAGAUAAGAUAAGGGCAAUGUAAACUUUUUUUGUUCGGUCAUAAGGGCAAUAAUGUAAACAGAUAAGCCUUUAACCGUUUUAAGGAUAAACUGUUGUUAAUACUCUUUUUUGCACCUUUUUGGUCAACUUCUAUCUUGCUGAUAAAUGUAUUUUGCUGACCCUUAUAUUCUUUUAAGGAUAAACU